CACAAUAUCAACAUGCUAUGAUUUACUUAUCGAAUCCCUCAGGAAUUGUGUUUAUUUCAGAAAUGAGUAGCUACAUAACACCCAUGUUAGAAAUAAGGACUGAAUUUGACCAAGGUGAUAUUAUCAUGGGGAGUGUAUGUCUGUAACGUUCAGAGUGACUUAAAACAGGCCAUAUUUAUUUACCCUAUUAUCAUUAACAGCAGUCCAUGCUCCCCCUUUUCUCCUCAUUCACUUCCUGUAACUCAGCCUAGAGCCCAGGUUGUUAGAGUGGUAACAGAUCUGGACUUUGGAAUGGGUUUGUGUACAGGCACCUUGGCUUGUGAGAUACAUGAACUUGGAAAAUUGGUGUCUCAGCUUUCUCUUCUGUAAAAUGGGGGUAAUAAGACAUUCAGUCAAUACUUGGAAAAAUCCUUCAAUAAGAAAGCAAGAGUUUGCUCUGGUUAAGCAGUAAAGCUCUGGUGGUCAAAAGUCCGGUUUCGCUUCCUAAAGCAAGUUACUUGAGGGAUAUGUUGGGAGACUGAAAAAUAAGGCAAAACAAGAUAACUUUGUUUUCUUUGCAAGGAGUCUGGGGUCCAUCAGUCUGCAUCUAGUUUAGCGUCUGUGGCUCACUGCAUGGAAGCUGUUCACCAGAGGUUCCCUCUAUCAUAUGUCUGCCUGGAGCUCUGAUUUCUGCGACUUCAGGAAGAGAAAGAGCCUGGCAGGGCCCAGGCUCAGCUUUUGCCUCUCUGGGGAAGUCUCUCAACCCGUUGCUGAUCUGACCCCAUCUUUGGAGAUCUGCUUCUAAGAGCCCGUGAAGGAUGAAGACCUCAAAGCAAUGCACGAUUAUCAUCAUCAUCAUCUUAUUACCAGCAUAAUGACAAUGAUAAUAGCUAAAAUGUAUGUCCCUAGGCACUGUUCUAUGUAUUUACAUGUACAUAAUAACCUAUAGAGCAAGUGUUAUUAUUAUGUCCAUUUAAUAUGAAGAAACUGAGGAACAGAGAAGUUAUGUAACUGGCUUAGGGUCGCUCAGGUAGUAAGGACAGUCAGACUUACCUCCAGGACCUGAGAUUUUUGCUAUUAGAAAUGACAUAAAUGCAAUUGGAAUCAAGCUGGCAGGAUUCCCUGACAACAUCUAGUAGAUGUUAGAAUUGUGAGGAUGUUUUCAAUUUGGUUUCCCAGUUUCUUCAGAGUUGUCAGUAGCAAUGUCCAUAUAGUUAGCAGCAAGUCAAAGAGGAAACAAUAUGAAUAUGUUUAUGUUUGAACAUUGAUCUUUACAAAGAAUUAUUUUCUAAAACUAAUGUUUAUCAGGGUCAGUCUAGAGAGUUACAAAUCAAACAAGGAUGGUUUCUGGAUUAGUUAGAUUACAUUCAUAAUAGAAAACUUUUGGACUGGGGUUCUGUAAACCUGGCCGUAUCGCUUUUCUGGACCUCAUAUUUUCCAUGUACAAAAUAAAGGAGUUGGAUUGGAUCA
rnacentral:lncRNA from 1 species